UUUUUAUUUUUCCUCAGACACUUCCUGUUUUAUUUUUUAUACCAUACAAAAACGUCUUUUCGUGUCAUCAAUUCAAGACGUUCCACUUCCUGUUUGCCGAGCAUGACACCCUAAUCAUUCUUAUGUCACUUCCUGUGUGUCUUGUGUUUUGCGUGUCAUCUCCUGGCAUUAAAAAAAAACAAACAAAAGGAAAAAAGAAGACGACCGUUCAGAGGACCCAGGGGAUGACCGGUCUUCGCCAGAUCGUCGCAACUCAUGCCCCGUUCCUGCACUCCCGUGUUCUUGAUCGUGAACCCUGGUGUACCGACCCCCGACUGAUCCCGUAAGCUUGACGUAUUUGAUACUCCUGCCUUCUCAGAUCGAUCACAGAGCUUCUUUCAGACCGUUUACUUCAACCAGGAUCCCUCACUGCAUCGUGGCGCUGGCUAGCAACAAACACCAAGUUAGCUUAGCUGCUAGUUUGUAGUCGUAGUGUCUUGGUCUCCAAUCAAGCUCACAGGCCAAAUCCUUUCAAGUCCAGACCACGGUUGCUGCCGUUUGAAGAUACCCAAAGCGGAGCCGGCGAGGAUCUCUCAGCGUUUUCGUCAGCGUUUGGACUCACGAAGAUGACGCCUGCUGUCGCGCCGCAACGAAUCUUCACGGAAUCUCGUCGCCGCCGCUCGUGUCUGGACCGGCAAGUACGGAUAAUCAAUCACUGUGUCACUUUGCGCUUGCUCCUUUUCUUUUUUUUUUCCCCACAAUUUGGUCCGAGGUGCCAGAUUUUAAAUAUUUGUGACGCGCUUCUGUCGAAAUACCCCAAGAAUCAAAGAUCGCAGGAUGCUUAACGCUCAGUUUAUUUUGUGGUGCUGAAACGAGCCUGUUUUGAGUGGGCGGUCCUGUUUCGUGUAGUCCCGCCCCCGCCCUCCUACUGAGGCCAGGGAAAGUCAGGGUGUUGCCACUAGGCGAGCGAGAGCGACGCACGGGAAGGGAGAUAAAAGCGGGUGCAGUAUUCGUAAAGACGGAAAAGGCAUUUUCGCUGGCGCAGGCGGCGCUUCACACGCAAAUAUCAACGACCUCCGACGAAAAUCAAUGCAGCUCUGCUUACCUGUUGGCUUUUGACACGGUGUUGUUAUUUCAAAGAUGCUCCAGCGAGCCGUAGUCUGAGAAACUCGCCGUGAGGUUGUGUAAAUUUGCUGUUUAAGGGGCGUGGCCUAAUGAGUGUCGUCAAGUCCCACGGUUGCUAGGCGAUGGCAGUUUUUUGAGGAGGCCACAUCAAAGAGAAACUGGCUCCCAGGUUUUUCCCGACGGGCGGAUGGGAGCGGGGGCAGA